rnacentral:lncRNA from 1 species
GGGGAUCGAACCCAGAAUCUCUGGUUCAGGGUUCAAGAAUUCGAGCUUGUUUUAUGAUUUUUACUUAGCUUUAUUUACUGUUAAUAUUAAUGUACACUGUGAACCUUUUUGUGCUAAAUGCUAUCUGUUUACCGCUUUAAUAUUGUUGAAUUAUAUAUAAUUGUCCCCUGUGAGUCUUCUAAAAAUGGUGCAUAUGUUCGCCUAGCCCGCUUUUUCUGUAGAAAUUAUACCAAAUAGAGCGGGGUUGGGCAAGCGACAAGGUCGGGCAGACUUUAGUGCUCCCGGUACGUCGCCCCCUCCUCGACCCCAGUUGUUCGCUCGGGUACCCCAAGUCUAGACCAAAAACCUCAGGAUUUAAACCUAGAAAAAACACAACUUUAUGCUGGAUACCUAGUAGGAACGUUUGUUUGCAUCAUGUGCAUUUGAAUU